GGGAGAGCAAGUUCCCAAUGCGGAUGAUGAUGACAUUCUUAAUAUUCAUGGAUGGUAGACACUAAUUGGAGAGGGAGAGCGAGAGCGCGCAAUACCGUGGAAAUUCUGCAAGUAAUGUCUUUGUUCAUUUAGAAUUUGGGAAAGUAGACGUGGGUAACAAUAAGAUGGGACAUAGUUGUGGGAGGUUGGGACUUGCAAUACAGGGCUGAGUUUAUGCUGACUGAAGAAAGAAAGGAGCGACACCAUUGUGAGAAUUGUUCAUGCAUCAGUUGGAGUUUGCCUAUUAGAUAUUUGAGGAUGUCAUCGAGCUUCUCAUGUCUGAAGUAUUUGGUGUAGAGCAAUGUUAUUUAUAUUCAAUUUUGUACUAUAUAAUAUAAUUUGAAUUCAAUAAAAUCUAUUUUUUUUAUUUAGUUAU